CUUUUGGGUGGAAUUUAGUGACACGGCUCAGUGUUUCCAAGUUAACCCUUUUGAUGAGAUUUCUCUGGAGAAGAGGAUGGAAACGGGUAAUGGAGACGUGAAUAGAAUCGAGAUGGUUAGCGUGUACAUUUAAUCUGCAUGUAUUACUGUUAAAAUUGUUUGAAGUAGGCAACUGUGAAGAUCAUAAACCUUCUCCAGCUGAGUCUUGAAACUAAGAGAUGCCAUAUUCUUAAGGGAAUACAUUGUAGACAUUCGAAAGGAAGAGGAAUGUUGUUGCUGUUGCUCAGCGGCUCAGUUGAGCCCAACUCUUCGCGACCCCAUGGACACCAGGACUCCAAGAGGGAUCCAUUUCUUGAGCCAAUGACUUUCUUUCACCAAGGCUUGUAUCCAUCCACUUGGCUUCCGGUGCUCUGCCACGCUGACUCAGGACUUCCGGAUCUGGCUACGUGACUAACUUUGGUGAUCGGAAUAUCAGCAAAUAUGAUGCAAGCAGAGGCUUCAAAAGUGCUGCAUAAUUGAACUUGUUCGCACUCCUGCUCUUCUGUCAUUGCCAUAAAUGCAUGACCAGGCAUGCCUUCUGGUGGAUAAAAGACACACAGCGCCAUCACCCCAGCCGAGCCCAGCCCAGAUUCAGAAACGGCCAGUUGACCUCCAGAUGUGUGAGCAAGCUCAGAUGAACAGCACCCUAGCCGACCACACGAAGGACACCGACAAUAAAUAUGCACACCGUUAUAUAUCAUGAAGGUCUUGGAACAGAAUUCUUGUGAAAAUAAAUAGCUGAU
ensembl:lncRNA